rnacentral:rRNA from 1 species
AUUAGAUACCCGGGUAGUCCCAGCUGUAAACGAUGCUCGCUAGGUGUCAGGCAUGGCGCGACCGUGUCUGGUGCCGCAGGGAAGCCGUGAAGCGAGCCACCUGGGAAGUACGGCCGCAAGGCUGAAACUUAAAGGAAUUGGCGGGGGAGCACAACAACGGGUGGAGCCUGCGGUUUAAUUGGACUCAACGCCGGACAACUCACCGGGGGCGACAGCAAUAUGUAGGCCAAGCUGAAGACUUUGCCUGAAUCGCUGAGAGGAGGUGCAUGGC